CCUACGGGAGGCUGCAGUGGGGAAUAUUGGGCAAUGGGCGAAAGCCUGAUCCAGCCAUGCCGCGUGUGUGAAGAAGGCCUUCGGGUUGUAAAGCACUUUCAGUGGGGAAGAAAGCCUUGGGGCUAAUACCCUCGAGGAAGGACAUCACCCACAGAAGAAGCACCGGCUAACUCCGUGCCAGCAGCCGCGGUAAUACGGAGGGUGCGAGCGUUAAUCGGAAUUACUGGGCGUAAAGCGCGCGUAGGCGGUCUGAUAAGCCGGUUGUGAAAGCCCCGGGCUCAACCUGGGAACGGCAUCCGGAACUGUCAGGCUAGAGUGCAGGAGAGGAAGGUAGAAUUCCCGGUGUAGCGGUGAAAUGCGUAGAGAUCGGGAGGAAUACCAGUGGCGAAGGCGGCCUUCUGGACUGACACUGACGCUGAGGUGCGAAAGCGUGGGUAGCAAACAGGAUUAGAUACCCUUGUAGUC
rnacentral:rRNA from 1 species